rnacentral:rRNA from 1 species
GACGAACGCUGGCGGCGUGCUUAACACAUGCAAGUCGAACGGAAAGGCCCUGCUUUUGUGGGGUGCUCGAGUGGCGAACGGGUGAGUAACACGUGAGUAACCUGCCCUUGACUUUGGGAUAACUUCAGGAAACUGGGGCUAAUACCGGAUAGGAGCUCCUGCUGCCUGGUGGGGGUUGGAAAGUUUCGGCGGUUGGGGAUGGACUCGCGGCUUAUCAGCUUGUUGGUGGGGUAGUGGCUUACCAAGGCUUUGACGGGUAGCCGGCCUGAGAGGGUGACCGGCCGCAUUGGGACUGCGAUGCGGCCCAGACGCCUACUGGAGGCAGAAGUGGGGAAUAUUGCACAAUGGGCGGAAGCCUGAUGCAGCAACGCCGCGUGCGGGAUGACGGCCUUCGGGUUGUAAACCGCUUUCGCCGGGGACGAAGCGUGAGUGACGGUAAUGUGUAAAGAAGCACCGGCUAACUACGUG